rnacentral:rRNA from 1 species
AACGAAACGCUGCCGGCGUGGAUAAGACAUGUAAGUCGAACGGAGAUUUUUUAGAGCUUGCUUUGAAAAGUCUUAGUGGCGAACGGGUGAGUAACACGUGAGUUACCUGCCCCGAAGCGGGGGAUAACCCGGGGAAAUCCGGACUAAUACCCCAUGUGCUCGUAAGAGUAAAGACGGUGAAAGCUGUCGCUUUGGGAUGGGCUCGCGGCCUAUCAGCUUGUUGGUGAGGUAACGGCUCACCAAGGCUAUGACGGGUAGGCUGAUCUGAGAGGAUGAUCAGUCACACUGGAACUGAGACACGGUCCAGACACCUACGGGUGGCAGCAGUCGAGAAUCAUUCGCAAUGGGCGCAAGCCUGACGGUGCGACGCCGCGUGGAGGAUGAAGGCCCUAGGGUCGUAAACUCCUGUCAUCAGGGAGUAAUCUCGUGAAGUAACUAUCACGGUCUUGAUAGUAC